CUGGAUAGUAGAAAGUGGCGGGCACUCGGCAGGUGCUGUUGGGAUAGUAGAAAGUGGGGGGCACUCAGCAGGUGCUGUUGGGAUAGUAGAAAGUAGGGGGCACUCAGCAGGUGCUGUCGGGAUAGCAGAAAGUGGGGGGCACCCGGCAGGUGCUGUCGGGAUAGUAGAGAGUGGGGGGCACUCGGCAGGUGCUGUCAGGCGGAGUGGUCACCACCGUUGUUGUCUUCUCCGUCACUUCCUCCAGAGUCUGUUACCCACGUCACAUCGUGGAUGCCCCCUGCCCGGAUAGGUCUGAGUGCACUGGGGUGGCCGGCACCCCACACCUUCUCAGGGAGCACCCAGCAGGAUACCUGAGAUUCUCCUUAGGCCUUGGAUGGGAGCUGGAGGCUUCUGGCUGCCUCCUGCACCCCAGAUGUGUGGCAACGGGGUGGGGAGUGUGUCACCCGAAAGAUGAUCAGGUGAGGCUGGGACCCUGAAGGCAGCCCCAUCCUGUGGAAUUACCCUCGGAGGCUCCAAAACUUCCCACCUGCAGGAACUGAGCUCAGGGGCACCAGACCCUGGUCCCCAACCUUCAAGUUAUAGGGUGGUGUCCCCCAGUUACAGGGCAGUGUCCCCAGUUACAGGAUACUGUCCCUCAGUCAUAGGUUAGUAUCUUCUGGUUACAGGAUAGCAUCCCGUCAGUUACAGGGCAGUGUCCCCCCAGUCAUAGCAUAGUGUAUCCCCAAGUUACAGGGUAGUGUCCCCAGUUAUAAGGCAAUGUUCCCCCAUUAUAGUGUCCCCAGUUAUGAGGUAAUGUCUCCCAGUUACAGGGUAAUGUCCCCCAGUUAUAGGGUGAUGUCCCCACAGUUAUAGGGUGAUGUCCCCACAGUUAUAGGGUGAUGUCCCCACAGUUACAGGAUAAUAGGAUAGUGUUCCCCAGUACAGGGCAGUGUCCCCAGUUACUCACUAGUGUCCCCUAGUAACAGGGCAGUGUCCACCCAGAUACAGCCUAGUGUCCCUCAGUUACACAAUAGUGUGUCCCCCAGUGGUAGGACAGUCUACUACUGAGUCCUCCUGGCAUGAGUCGAGCUGAGAUUAGGAUAGGGUAAUGACCCUUCAGUUUUGGGGAAGGGACCAGAGCUCGGCCAGUGAGAAGCUUCCAGCUCCGUCUGGCCAUAUCCAGGCUGCUGAGGGUCCUGGGCUCUGUCCUUAAACCUCAUCACUGACAUGACCCAGCAAACCUCCUCAAGAGGAAAAAGUCCCCUUGGGUCAAACACAGCUUGUGCAGUUCUCGGGGACCUCCUCCUGCCAUCCUGGGGAUGCUGUGGAGAAUGGAGAUGCACAGGGGGCUUUGUCCUCUCCUCUGCCUUUUGGAGAAAAUAUUUCACUCAAGGCAAACGCAGCCUGAGGGCAGCACAGGGGACCCCAAGGCUCACUGCGCAUUUCUAGUCGCCCCCAAACGCGUGGGUUUUCCUCCUGUUCUCCUCGUGGGUGCCUUUGCUCAUUCUCAUCCUCCUGUUCUCAUCCAGUCUGCCCAGUCUGACCGGCUCCCAGCAGCAUCCGCCCAAAAGUUUCUCCCAUGACAGCAGGAAGCAGCCUCAGACAAUACAUGAUGGACAGGCCUGGCUGUGUUCCAAUAGAACCCCGAGUCAGUCAGCCCGAGCCUCCCUCUCAGCUGGAUACUGUUAAUGACAGGGGUACACAUUCCCCUCCCCUUUCCAAUGUUUUAAAACUCUAGGACAGUGAUUCUCAAACACUUUGGUCUCAAAACCCCUAAGAGCAUUUGCUUAUGUGGCUUUUAUCUGUUGAUAGUUGCUACCUGAGAAAUUAAAACUGAGAAAUCUAAAAAUAGAUUUAUUUUAGGAAGUCACUAAAAAUAAUAAGCCCAUUGCAUGUUAACAUGAAAUAGCAUAUUUUUACAAAAAAAUAAAUUUUCUAAAAACAAAACAUCUAAGUGAGAAGAGUGGCAUUGUUGUACUUGUUUUGCAAAUCUUUUCAGUGUCCGGUUUAUGAGAUGACAGCACUUUGGUUUGUUGCCAACCAUUCACUUAUAAAGAAACCCUUUUCCAAUAAUUAGCUGGGGCUGGUGCUAGAGCAAUACCAGAAGUUCAGCGAUGUCUGUAGAUUUGUCCAAAUGUAUGUGAAGAGACUGUGUUUACUCAGUUUUUAUGUUUGCAGUUAAAUCUUCAAUUUGAUGAGUUAUUUUAUCAUUGCAAAGUGGCAGUGUCAGGGUUUCCUUUAUUGACUUAUCCAGCAGGCAUUCAGCUAUAUCAACUCUACAUAUGAAGUAAGGAGUUGAAUUAAGCAGAGUAGUUAAUAAAAAGCUUUUUUUUUUCAUGUUUUAAAAAUGUGACGUUGUCAGGCCUCUGAGCCCAAGCUAAGCCAUCAUGUCCUCUGUAACCUGCACGUACACAUCCAGAUGGCCGGUUCCUGCCUUAACUGAUGACAUUCCACCACAAAAGAAGUGAAAAUGGCCUGUUCCUGCCUUAACUGAUGACACUAUCUUGUGAAAUUCCUUCUCCUGGCUCAUCCUGGCUCAAAAGCUCCCCUACUGAGCACCUUGUGACCUCCACUCCUGUCUGCCAGAGAACAACCCCCCUUUGACUGUAAUUUUCCUUUACCUACCCAAAUCUUAUAAAACGGCCCCACCCCUAUCUCCUUUCGCUGACUCUUUUCAGACUCAGCCCGCCUGCACCCAGGUGAAAUAAACAGCCUUGUUGCUCACACAAAGCCUGUUUGGUGGUCUCUUCACACCGAUGCGAGUGAAAACUGUUUUAUUUCUACCCGCAGGCGGGGCCUGCCAGAGGAGGUAGGUGUGCUGGGCUCAGGGGACGUGUGGGCUGUGAGGAGGAGAUGGUGACAGGAAGCUGGAAGGAAAG
rnacentral:lncRNA from 1 species